GUCGAGAAUUGUAUUUAUAUGAAACGAUAAAGUUUGCUUAUCAAUAUCAAUUCCAUUUCGUUUCAACUCAUCAAAAAUUAUAUCUAUGUUAUCCAUGAUACUCUCACCACAACGAUUGAACAACAAAUGAGACACACAGUAUUUAUUUCAGUAAAUAUAUGCAAAUUUACACUACUUAACUAGCAACGUAUUAUUAUUACAAGAGGUCUAUUUUAUCAAGUUCACUUGUUAAACCAAAUCUACGAAAUUCAUCAUAGGCCUCCAUAGUGUUAGAUUUAGAACUAUUAAAUGUCUCUCCUGUUUCUUCAAUCAUGUACUGGCAUUAUAGUGGAUUACUGAAGAGCACGAUGCCAGUGUUGGUCACCCGAGGGCCUUGUUGCUUCCAUUCUACUCAGACAUUUUUUUUCUUUUCUUCCCAUUCUCGACUUCGCUCGCAGCCAAUCUGUAAUAGUUGUCCAAGCUAACACCCGUUUUCUUCUCGAAUUUUUCCUUCCUUUUCGUCAUAUCUGCAAAUAUCUCACCCACAAGCAUCUGCUUACAGUUCGACAAAUAUGUAAAGGUAGGGCCCUGCACUCGUUUAGGAACACCAACACUCAGAAUCAAUUGUGAUUGCAUUUGACGCAACAAUAUAUCAUACAGGGCAUCGUCCCCACGAAUAAAUUUCUGUACCAAACCCUUUUCAAUCAAAAUGUUUUCCAAAUCUGUAAUUUGCCAUUUCGCCUUUUCAAUAGGUAAACCAACCCCAUUCUCACACUCUGUACUCAAUUCAAACGAUUUACCACUCAUCCACGAAGAAACAACCUUUUCCCACUUUGCUUGCUCCAUCUCGACUGAAAAAGAGCGAUAAUCUGUUUCCCCUCAAGAUAAAUUUCAGCAGCUUGCCAAAGGACCUCCAGUAAGAACGUUGUCAAAAUAUAGACGAUGCUUGUUACAAGACACUUGUCG
rnacentral:lncRNA from 1 species